rnacentral:snRNA from 1 species
GUGCUUGCUUCAGCAGCACAGAUUCUAAAAUUGGAACGAUACAGAGAAGAUUAGUGUGGCCCCUAUGCAAGAUGACAUGGAAGUUCAUGAAGCAGUCCAUAUUAAA